CACGUAGGGCGCAAGCGUUGUCCGGAAUUAUUGGGCGUAAAGAGCUCGUAGGCGGUCUGUUGCGUCCGCUGUGAAAACUCGGGGCUUAACCCCGAGCCUGCAGUGGAUACGGGCAGACUAGAGGUAGGUAGGGGAGAAUGGAAUUCCCGGCGUAGCGGUGAAAUGCGCAGAUAUCGGGAGGAACACCGGUGGCGAAGGCGGUCUCUGGGCCUUACCUGACGCUGAGGAGCGAAAGCGUGGGGAGCGAACAGGAUUGAGAA
rnacentral:rRNA from 1 species